rnacentral:sRNA from 1 species
UUCUUAUGCCUUUUAGGCAUCCUCUCCCAACUCUAGCCGGCGUGACGUCGGCCUCUUUUUGAGAAGG